AAAAAAAAAGACUUACAACUUUUAGGGAUGAUCCCCUAAUGAUAGAAUUAAUUUACUGCUCUCUUUGGUACAAAAAUAUGCCUUGGACUCUCUAAAAAAUCAAAACACAAAUGACUAAACAUGUUUAUCAAUUUAUAAAAAAAAUUAUAUAAAAAAUGGAAGAUUGUAUCACACAUAUACUUAAUUGCACUGGAAUAUGAAGAUUUUCUACUUUACAAUUCUUCCAGAGUGUUGGGAUU
rnacentral:lncRNA from 1 species